ensembl:lncRNA
UAGGACUGCAAGAAUGUGGAGGAUUAUCAGAUGUCAGUGGGAUGCAUUUGGACCACUCUGGCAAAUAAUACUGCAUAUGACACACUCGAGCUCAGAUGACUGGUUGGGGCAAGGUCGCAGGGGGGCUGGAGCCCAUCUCAGAUACCAUAGGGUGAGAGGCGGGGUUCACCCUGGACAGGACGCUGGAUACUAACGUUGUAUGAAGAAAACUGUGAACAUGGCCUGUACUGUGAAGCGCACUGACUGGUCGAUAAGACUUGAAAAAAUUAUAUAAAUGCAACCCAUUUACAAUUUUUAACAGAAACAUAUGCCUGACCAAAGCAUUUUAGCAUACCAGCUAUACAACCAUUAGUCCAUGCUAGCACUGUAAAUUAUACAGAAUGACUGUAAUAUGCUUGCCAACUGAUACUGAGUACUCCAUUAUGAUGAGUGUCUCUUCUGCUGCUGUGCCCUUCUCUGGUCUCUGUAACAAAGAGUCAAGAAGCAUUGAUUAACAGACUUUCAGUCUUUGUAGAAAGGAAGCAAGUGCAAAAAAACAAGUAAAAUUAGAUAAAAGCAUGUAUAGAAUUCUGUUUAUUUAGAAGAGUGGCCAAACACGCCUAGCUGUACUCAAGUUCAGAUUCAUUAUUAAUGCUCUUCUAAUAACUCCACUAUUUCUUCAUUUUAUACAUAUAGAUAUAUGAUGGCAAAUAUUUUAAAAUUCUCUUAUGUAGUGCAAAAAUGCAUAAAGGACAACACUACUGUUAGGAAGUCUACAAUAGUGCUGUGCUUCUGGCCUGUCUGUGGUGCUGAUCAGAAAGAGUUGGUAAGGUAGGCCGCUGUUUCUUUUUACUUGCUCAUUAAUGUUUCUCAGCUUCAAUCACAGACUUUGAGAGAAUAUUUGUGUUAUCCUGUUAAAUUAAUACUGCCUACUAAUGUUACAAACAGACUGGACUGAUACCGAAUGCUGUUUAGCUCCAAAAGACAGCUAAUGUUGCUCUGGUAAUUGCUAAUACUGAAAUGGCUAAUGCCAUCCAGGGGGAUAUUUGUGAUAACUGUUUAAUCCUUCAGUGUUGCUGAGAUGGGAGCUUUACUGACCCCACAAAAUUCCCCAUAAAGUCUUGUGCUACUUCUUUAGCUACUCCUUUUUUGCCUUGGCAAUAUUU